rnacentral:rRNA from 1 species
AGUGACACUGUUCAACGGCCGCGGUAUCCUAACCGUGCGAAGGUAGCGUAAUCACUUGUCCUUUAAAUGGGGACUAGUAUGAACGGCACCACGAGGGUUAUACUGUCUCCUCUUUCCAAUCAGUGAAACUAAUCKUCSCGUGAAGAAGCGGGAAUAUAUCUAUGAGACGAGAAGACCCUAUGGAGCUUUAAACGAGACAACAUUUGCUAUUACACACACCCAUCCCAGGAAAUCAAUCCUAUUAAGCUCUAUGAUUGCCAGUUUUAGGUUGGGGUGACCGCGGAGUAAAAAAUAACCGCCACAAUGAAUGGGGACCUCCCCUAAACWAAAAGCCACAACUUUAUGUAUCAAUAAAUUGACAUCAAUUGACCCAAUAUUUUGAUCAACGAAACAAGUUACCCUAGGGAUAACAGCGCAUUCCACUUCAAGAGCCCAUAUCGACAAGCGGGUUUACGACCUCGAUGUUGGAUCAAGGUACCCCAGUGGUGCAGCCGCUACUAAA